UACAGAGGUCUCAAGCGUUGUUCGGAUUCAUUGGGCGUAAAGGGUGCGUAGGCGGCGCGGUAAGUCGGGUGUGAAAUCUCGGGGCUUAACUCCGAAACUGCAUUCGAUACUGCCGUGCUUGAGGACUGGAGAGGAGACUGGAAUUUACGGUGUAGCAGUGAAAUGCGUAGAGAUCGUAAGGAAGACCAGUGGCGAAGGCGGGUCUCUGGACAGUUCCUGACACUGAGGCACGAAGGCCAGGGGGAGCAAAACGGG
rnacentral:rRNA from 1 species